rnacentral:misc_RNA from 1 species
UCCGACUUGAAGUCGGCAGUCUCCUGUGAAAAUGCAACACAGAAUAUGGGUUGCGCUCGUUUACGGACUUAACCGAACACCUCAAGGCACGAGCUGACGACGACCAUGCAGCACCUGUCAUCCGGUUCCUUGCGGCACUCCCGCAUUUCUGCGGGAUUCCGGAGAUGUCAAGCCUUGGUAAGGUUCCCCGUUUACCGUCGAAUUAAACCACAUGUUCCACCGCUUGUGUGGGUCCCCGUCUAUUCCUUUGAGUUUUAAUCUUGCGACCGUACUCCCCAGGCGGGAUACUUAACGCGUUUGCUAAGGCACAAGGGGGGGUCGAUUCCCCCUCACACCGAGUAUCCAUCGUUUACGGCGUGGACUAC